rnacentral:rRNA from 1 species
GCUAAAGAGGGGCCAGGGACGGGGGUAAGACGUAGGCGGCGGUGGUUAAGGGGAUUUACUGGGCGUAAAGCGUGCGUAGGCGGCGUUGUAAGUCGGAUGUGAAAUCCCCGAGCUUAACUUGGGAAUUGAAUUCGAUGCUGGGAAGCUAGGGUAUGGGAGAGGAUGGUAGAAUUCCAGGUGUAGCGGUGAAAUGCGUAGAGAUCUGGAGGAAUACCGAUGGCGAAGGCAGCCAUCUGGCCUAAUACUGACGCUGAGGUACGAAAGCAUGGGGAGCAAACAGGAUUAGAUACCCGGGUAGUC